rnacentral:rRNA from 2 species
UCAGUCGUAAACUUUAACUUACAUCUUUCUCCUCGCCAGGGAACUACGAGCUAAGCUUAAAACCCAAAGGACUUGACGGUACCCCAUAUCCCCCUAGAGGAGCCUGUCCUAUAAUCGAUAACCCCCGUUUUACCUCACCAUUUUUUGUUAAUCAGCCUGUAUACCUCCGUCGUCAGCUUACCACGUGAGCGUGUGAGCUAAAUGUUUUUUCAACCACACGUCAGGUCAAGGUGCAGCAAAUAAAAUGGAAAGAGAUGGGCUACACUCUCUAUUCUAGAAUAAACAAAAGACUAAAUGAAACCCGGUCAGAAGGCGGAUUUAGCAGUAAAAUGAAACUAGAGCGUUCAUUUAAACAUGGCAC